CACGUUUAAAAAAAAUGUUUGUUAAUAUAUUGUAUAUUAUAUAAUUAUGUGAAAUUAAAAAACGGACAAUAUAUAUAAAAAAAAAAAAACACAAAAACCGUAAAAUAAAAAAAAAGCACUGUAACUUGACUGAGUCAAGUAUGUCUUGCAAUAUUAAUACACGGCAAUAAUGAUAAUAAUACUAUUACGUACCCACCGUUGUACAAUAAUAUGUAAAUAACCCGUUACCGUUACGUAUACCUAUAUAGACGAUUCCGUCUUAAUAUGUUAAUCAUGCGUAAUAAUAAUGUAAUAUGUGUAUACAUACAUACAUAGACGGAACGAAAAACAAAAAAAAAAAAAAAAAAAAAAACCUUAAUUAUCCUAUAGGUAGGUAGUAUUAUAAUACACGCCGAGAAAAAAAUAAAAAAUAUAAUACACAAUGCGAUACGCAGACUAUGAUAAAUCGUUAUAUUAUUAUCUUACGGGUAUAGAAAAAAAAAAAAAGCUUAUAUAUAUAUACACAUAUAGAAUAGCGUAAUAUAAUAAUAUACGAAUUAUAAUAUCGUACAUACAUUACGGAUAACAAUAAUUGUUAUUGUAAUCGCAUAGCGCGGAUGCCAGUUGAAAUAUUUCUGAAAUAAAAAAAAAAAAAAAAAUAAGCAAAAACCCGUUGGUUGGUUAUAUUCGGGUGUAUUAUAAUGAUAUACAUUAUUGUAUUAUUGUGUCGUCGCGGAUAAUGUUAUUAGACACCCGAUCAGGACGGAAUCCCGACACUCGAUAUUCGUGUUUACGGUAAAAUAACCGUCCGACUCAGCUUAUGAGUUUUGUAAAUUUUCAAAGUCCGGAUAGGCGGGACAGCGUUUUAGCCGAAUAUUGUCAUUGCAGAGGCAUGGUUUAUAAUUAUAUAUAUAUAUUUUUUUUCAACACGCAACACUAUAAAAGCUCAAAUUGAUCCGGACUGUUCACACUCGAUUUUUAUCGGGGGCAGGCGUACGACGGUGCUUAGUGUGGUACGUUUUUAUUGCCGUUUCGGUGAGGCAAGUCUAUUUGCAAAACCCUAAUACAGCAUAUUAGAGUGUUUCUAUCGUCAGAUGCGUGCUGUAUAGAAAAAAUAAAAAUAAAAAUACUUUGAAAGUCUUGCGAGUGAUUCCUGAAAGUUCGAUCGGGUUCGGUCGUAGCGCCGCUUGGUUUUCGGUUAGUACAGAGGGAGGAUCCAUUUGGCCGUUUUAGCGCGAAUCACAACGGUUUUCUCGGAGGAUUUUAUCAAGUGAAUUUGAUCUGGGUAUGUUAAUUUUAUUUUUAUGUUUUUUUUUUCAAUCAUUACAUGCGGAAUUAGGAAUCCGUUUUAGACGCGGAUUCGAGUAGAUAUCGAUUUUAAGUAUACGUCGAAAAUCCAAAAUCGAACGGAAAAAAACCGCAACGUUAAACGAUCCCGCGGAAGAUUCCCGUACGUUAUGAACUGCGAAAUCGGUCGACAUCCGGAGCCGGGAAACGCCCGGGAAAACCGCCGGUCCGCGAUUGACGGGAGUGAGCCCGGAGUGAGGGCGAGACGGAGCAUCUGCCACCCCCACGGACUGCGACAUUUCAAAUAUAAUUUUAUUUCAAGUACUAUUUUUUUGGUGGUCGAUUUCGUUCGAGAGACCUAACCCGACCUUCCUGGAAUUUCGUUUCCCACUCGGAUUCAACGCCGGCCCUCCGUGGUAAAUUUCCAGCGGGAGCCCAGCCCCGGGCGCACCCUCGGAGUUUUACCCGCUUUAACCGACGCCUGUGCGUUUCGCUCGUCGUCGUCGCCAAAAGUAUGUCGCUCGGUACGACAACGGUAUAUUGUCGGGUGUAGG